CGGCCAUAUCUUUGAAACACCGGUUCUCGUACGAUAACCGAAGUAAAGCAACGUUGACUAUGGUCAGUACCUAGAUGGGGGACCUCUUGGGAAUACCA